rnacentral:tRNA from 3 species
GCUCCGGUAGUAUAGUCCGGUCAAGUAUAUUGGCCUCUCGAGCCAGUGACCCGGGUUCAAAUCCCGGCCGGAGCACCA